rnacentral:lncRNA from 1 species
AAUAGUUUCCCCACCUGCCCUGAAUAACGGGUCGGCACUGGUCUGGACACAGUCAUACUACCAAAAGCACAUACAGUGGGCGACGUCAUCGGCAGGACCGCGGUUUCAUGACAUACCAGAUAAGCGCAGAAUUUGACUUUGGACAUAUAGAUUUUUGCAUGUGUUUUUUUUGUGUUCAAUCAUAACAUUCGGUUUCGGAAGUGAACGCAGUGGUGCGUUUGGUUAGCGGAUCUAGACAGCUGUACUGAGACCAAGGUAGGCAUGGCAGGUAGCUCAAUUGGGAGUAAGUCUGAGUAGGAUGACGGUAGUAGGAUCAGUGGUGAGUCUACCUAAACGAUGGUCCAGGAAAAAGGAUAGGUUCAGAAAAGGGUACAAGGGUGGAUUUACCACAGAUGGAGACAUAGACGAGGGUGGAUUUACCACAGAUGGGGACAUAGAAGAGGGUGGAUUUACCACAGAUGGGGACAUAGACGAGGGUGGAUUUACCACAGAUGGGGACAUAGACGAGGGUGGAUUUACCACAGAUGGGGACAUAGAAGAGGGUGGAUUUACCACAGAUGGGGACAUAGAAGAGGGUGGAUUUACCACAGAUGGGGACAUAGACGAGGGUGGAUUUACCACAGAUGGGGACAUAGACGAGGGUGGAUUUACCACAGAUGGGGACAUAGACGAGGGUGGAUUUACCACAGAUGGGGACAUAGACGAGGGUGGAUUUACCACAGAUGGGGACAUAGACAAGGGUGGAUUUAGCACAGAUGGGGACAUAGACGGAAGGGGGGAAUCUAGGAGAGCAAACCGACAGGGCGAUGAGGUACAGGAGAACAACCACUAAAAUGUUACAUCCAAUAAUGUUGUGGUUAAUAUAGUUCAGAGGGUCAAGAUACUGAAAAUGGAGGCGCUAAAUGGAGGUAAGGUGAGAUGCCAUAUCCCUGGCAGUAGGGUGAAAGUGAGAGGGGUGAUCGCUGAUUGCGGGGGUUCUGUUAGAGGUGUCAAUGGAGGAGUUUGAGGGAGGUGACCGGGGGGAAAGUGGAUGAUGCGAGGCGAAUGAGCAGUAAGAAAAGAUAGGGUGGAGUAGAAAGCACUAUGGCGCUGUUAGAGUUUGAAGGGAAUCUUCUGAGACGAGUACAUCUAGGAUUCAUCAGCUUUUAUGUUAGGGAGUUUGUGCCAGUGCAGAGAUGUUGUGCGGAGUGUGGGGGGCCACAUGAUUAUGGCAGGUGUGGGGUGGAGGCCAAGGCAAGAUACUGUAACUGCGGGGGGAACAUAGUGAGGUACAGAGAUAUAAGAUCACAAACAAGGUAACGUAUGCUGAAGCAGCACGGCGAGUUCAAAGGACAUAACCUGUGAGGAAAUUGAUGCACCAGCCUCCAAUGGAAGGGGGAGAUUAGGGAGUAGUACAAACUGGGGUCUUCAAGACAUGUGCCCAUCAGUGUGUGGUCACAAAAUAAUUGUUGGUGGUGAACAGGUUUGACUUCUUGGCGUUCAUGUGUAGUGUGAUGAAUAUGAGUGGUCAGGUUAAGAAAAAGUCUACACGCAUUGUGGUAUGCGUGGCCAAAGAUUUUCUGGGAAUUACAGAAGCAACUGAAGUAAUGAUGCAUGAGAUUUUGAAUCGGCCAAGAGGUGAUGGUUUGGAACAACCUAUUUAGGUCCUUCAAUUGAACACUAGAAGCUUAAUAUCUAACGGGCAGGAGUUUAAGAAGUUUGUAUAUUACAUGGAUGUAGUACCAGAUGUAGUGUGUGUACAAGAGACAUGGCUCAAACCUCAACUGAAGUUUGUGAUUCUGGGAUUCAGUUUGGUACGGUGUGAUAGAAUUGGAGGGGUCGGAUGGGGCUUGUCCUACGGAGAUAAAAAUAUGUAGGAAUAGAGGUAACAUUGUUAUAGUUAAUUUCUAUAACCCCUCCAAACCUCUCAUGUUAGCACAGUUAGACGUGAUUGAUAGGAUGUGUAGGGGUAGGAAGGUAAUAUGGUGUGGUGAUUUUAAUGCCCAUAAUGAAAUCUGGGGAAGUAAAUAUAAAGAACAAUGGGAGUUGAAUAAUUUAUGCAUAACAGGGGAUUAGUAUGUGUUAAUGACGUGAGGGGGACAGAGUCAUGCUUGGACUUGACAUUGUUAUCUGCAGUGGUGGCAGGGAGGUGUGAAUGGGAAGUGAUGAGAGAAACCACGGUAGGGAGUGAUCAUUUUCAAGUUCGGUGUAAGGUCAAUGUGGAUGUUUGUAUGCAGAGUAGAGGCAAUAACAUUACAUUACAUUUUACAUUUAAGUCAUUUAGCAGACGCUCUUAUCCAGAGCGACUUACAAAAUGGUGAAUUCACCUUAUGAUAUCCAGUGGAACAACCACUUUACAAUAGUGC